rnacentral:rRNA from 1 species
AUUGAACGCUGGCGGCAGGCCUAACACAUGCAAGUCGAACGAGUGGCGGACGGGUGAGUAAUGUCUGGGAAACUGCCUGAUGGAGGGGGAUAACUACUGGAAACGGUAGCUAAUACCGCAUACCAUCAGAUGUGCCCAGAUGGGAUUAGCUUGUUGGUGGGGGAACGGCUCACCAGGGCGACGAUCCCGAGCUGGUCUGAGAGGAUGACCGCCGACCCUGGAACUGAGCCACGGUCCAGAGUCCUAAGGGAGGCAGCAGUGGGGAAUGUUGCACAAGGGGCGCAAGCAUGAUGCAGCCAUGCCGCGUGUAUGAAGACGGCCUUCGGGUUGUAAAGUACUUUCAGCGGGGAGGCGUUACCCGCAGAAGAAGCACCGGCUAACUCCGUGCCAGCAGCCGCGGUAAUUC